UGGUUAUGACAUAAGGGUAAAUGUACUGGUUGGUUGCUUCAAGACUUAAUAACAGACACUAUGACAAUGGCUCAAGAGAUAUCAGAUCUACCUUCUUGGCUGGGGGCGUUAUUGGUGGCGCAUGUCUCGGUCCCCUUGAUGGCCGUGGUGGAUGGACAUGAACACGAGGGGGGAUCAGGGCGGAGAGCAGGGUGGUUGGCGGGGGACUCAUCCUUGGCAGUUCAUGGGAAAGUACGGUGUGAAGCAGAGGGGGCGCCAUGGCGAAGUGUGAAAGGAGGAAAAUAGUUGCCGGAAAGCAGGUAGAUCUACACCUUGAGAGAUGGCAUUUUGUGGUACAUUGUUUAGGUCAUUAGUGGUCACUUUUGAUGGGUGCGAUCUGUAGCAUUUGAUCCAGGGAACAAAUGGUUUUGUCCUGGUUUUGCUGAUAGGACAAUAACGGUAAGCCCACAUCCUGCAUUCAUU